GAUUUUGAUGGUAGUAGAAAAUGGAGUGCCAGAGUGUUGAACAGCAUACAGUAUUAUUGUAGAGUGCUUUUAACAGCAUUUCAUGGAGUCUGUCCCCAGUCCCAAGAGGCUUUGUGAGAUGGCCUGAUGAAGGAAAGCAAACUUAAAACAUUUAAGGUUUUGCUGGUUAUAGUCAAAGACCUAUUGUGAAAUUCACAGGAAAAUCUUACACUUGAACUCUUAGGUAGCAUAUGGCAAUGACUAAGAAUAUUGUGAAAAUUAGUCUAAAUUAGUGCUUACUGUUUUCUUUGACUAGAUGACUGUUAACAAUGGAAUAAAUUUGAAAUUAAAAAAAACUGAUAAUUUG
rnacentral:lncRNA from 1 species